AAAGUCAUGCCCACACACAGUAUUGAAUGGUUAAGAUAAUAUAGGGUCAUUGUCAUCAUCUGUCAUCGUUCAUGCCAUUUUUGUUGGCGUUUUGCUACAUUUACAGACAUUCUUACAUAUUUCUUUAGCGUUAAUAUAUAAUAGACAUAAUACAUUCCUUUGCCUUAAACUCAGAUGCACAGUUUGUGAUACAAUCUCAACAUCAUUGUGAGACAUCAUCAUGAGUCACCAUCAUCAUCACCGCCACCGCCAUGAUGUAUGAUGAUGAUGAUAAUAGUCAUCAUCAAAAACUUUGUCUAACUUUUCGCCGAUUGUACAUCCUUUCCUCCAGAAAAUACUACAUUUCUGUCUAUUUUUACAGAUUAAAUGCAAUAAAUGGCUUCAUCAGCCCCUAAUUCACAUAUAUAUGCAAUAGUUGACAAUGAGGAAUGAGUACAAUAUCUCAUUGUCAUCAUCUUCAUUAUCCGUCUUUUUGUUUCAAUUUUUGUCCAAAGUUAAUUGUCACUUUUUCGCAUCCUUUCCAAUCAGCGAUAAUCAAUAUAAAUUGCAGCCUGAAUCUCUGAGUGGGCUGUCUGCUGAAGGGCACACACACACACACGCACGCACGCACGCACACACACACACACACACACACACACGGGCUGAGGGGGGAUGGGAACAUGCUCUUGAGUCUUAAGUCAUCCAACCAGCCAACCAGCUCCCCUUACUAAAUAGACGCACGAUCACCGAAACGCGAGGGGAGGCGCAACGGGCACGGAGCUGCUGGCUCUAUAUCCAGCGGCUCAGAGGCGCUCUGACUCCAUUCACUUCAGAGUCCUACACAGCCAAGGACCUGUGCAGACUGCUGCGAGACAGGCUCUGGAAAGCACAACACGGACGACUUUCCCCCUGCUUCGACUGCCUUUGUGAUUUUUCUCAGAGGAUCUGCUUAUUGGAUUAUAUUCGUUUAGGGCUAUUAAAUCCUAUCAUAGAAAAAACUCGUGCGUCUUAAUUCUGUCUGAUACUGAAAUUCUCCAAAAGAAGAGGAGCUGCGUUUCUUGAAUAUUUCAGUAAACUGGGCUGAAGUUUAUUUGUUAGAGGGUGAAGGACAAGUGCAACGCGCCUCAGACUUGUCUCUUGGGAUUGUCCCACUUGCGCCUGAGGAGCUAUGUCGAUCUGCCGCACAGAGCUUGUUGAAGAGGACGCAGUCCAAUGUGAAUAACAAGAGUCAACUUCCAGCCUCUUCAGCUUUUCACAGUUACAAGCAAGUGCAGCAGGAGUCUGACUGAGCCCGCUAAACAGCUCUGACACCCCGGUUUCCCUCCCCGAGGGGAUGGUUGUGGAUCCUCUGGGGCCAGGAGCGACUCUGCGGCUCCUACAGAAUAGCACCUUUUUCUUGUUUGGGGUUAAAUCUAAAUUAAAGGGAGAUGAGAGCCGCACUUUGUUACUUCCUGCUGUGGACGACGUACCUGCUGCUGGCCACCUCUGAGGAAGUGGAGUUUCCCCAGGAGCUGAUAGACAGACUGUCCCACAGUGAAAUCCACAGCAUCAGCGACCUCCAGCGGCUAUUGGAGAUUGACUCCGUAGGUACGGGAAAUGAUGUUAUUGAGGAGCCCAAGCACCACAAACACCACAACCACCACAACCACCACAAGAACUACUCCCGUCACCCUGGUUACUACAACGACCUGAAGAGCUCCCAGCUCCACACCCGACGCAAGAGGAGCCUUGUGGAAGAGGCGGUCCCAGCGGUGUGUAAGACGCGGACGGUGAUCUACGAGAUCCCCAGGAGCCAGGUGGAUCCCACGUCUGCUAACUUCCUGAUAUGGCCGCCCUGUGUGGAGGUGAAGCGCUGCACGGGCUGCUGCAACACCAGCAACAUGCGCUGUCACCCUUCCCGCAAGCACCACCGCACCGUUAAGGUAGCCAAGGUGGAGUAUGUGAGAAGGAAACCCAAGCUGAAAGAGGUCUUUGUGCGGUUAGAAGACCACCUGGAGUGUGUGUGCACGUCACAGCAUCAUGUGGUGGAGCACUCAGAUGCAGAAACAGGCCACCGUAGGGCUAAAGAUAAAAAAAGGAAACCAAAAAAACUAAGACCCAGCAAGGAUUUAUUGGCGACAUAAUAAAGUUGCACUCAUUACCCAAAGUCCACUGGAGAGCUGUGAAGGGAACAGUGGACGUGAGGUGAGACCAAUUGGAACAAGGGACUUCAGCGUGGGAGGGACCUAAAUAGAGGAUGCCACCAACAGGAGACCUGCUCUGUCCUCUUCCCCGCCGCCAUGCCACCUUCGUUUGAAAAAAACAAACUUUUCUGUUAAGAUGAGUGACUGAAUAAUAAGCAACAGACAAAAAUAAAUAAGAUGCCAAAGGUGCUUUUAAAAAAAAAACAAUAACCAGUGAUGAUGACUUCCUCUGUGGUACGCCAUCUACCGAGUCAACUGAACCCUGCCAUUGAUCAGGAAGAAAAGAGAAUGAUGCUGUGGAGCUCGGGCAGAGCAUAAAGACGCCGAAGGGAGAUGAUGAAAGGGAUUUGUGUUGAACAUUUUGACAGACUUUGUUUGAACAAGACGCACAACAGUAACGGCCAUGAAACAGCUGGAUCAAGCUUUCGUGGGAAUCGGUUACUCAGACUCCAAAACAGCAGUGGAUGACCUCCAGCUGGGCAACAUAAAAGUGCCCUGCCCUGUUUAAAUGACUCUUGCAUACACAGGAAGGAGAGAUAUAGGAAAAACAAUGGAAAGAGAAAAAGAAAGAAAGAGACAGAUGGGAGAUGUGUUUUUUCUUCUUCAAGAAGCUCUGAGUUGAGUUUUUAGAUGUUUGCUCUGAAUCAAGAGACCCCUGGCGGCCUGUGACUGUGCCCACUUGCUCUGUACAGUAAAAUCUGAAAAGGAAGACACGCCGCUACUUACAAACUAUUUAUACGUGUGGACGUUUGCUUUCUGUCUCUUCCAGUACAAAAGAAAGAAAGAACUAAAAGGAUGUUUGUAUGAUUUUGGAGACAUGCAAUGUGUGGUCUGGUUCUUUGUAACAAUCAGUAUCACAAUCUCAAUGUCCUUUUUCUAGUUGUUGUUUUAUCUUGUCAUCCAUGUUUCUUAUUAUAUUACAGUAUAUCUGAAUGAUGUAUGAUAUAUGGUUUGGAUAUAUGUGUGCAAGGAGGAGAUGUGGGAGUCAGUACAGGAAGAUGCUUUAUUUUUGUUAUGAAAUAUAUUAUGCUUACUUAUAGCCAAGCAGGAAUUAUGUUUAUUUCUUUCUGUUGAUGAAUGCCUGUAUUUAAUCCAUUGGAAAAGAUGCAAAAAUGUGUGGAGGGGGCAUGGUGGAAUAGAUCAGGGAGAAAAAAGGCUGUCAGUGCUUGUUAGCCUGUGUGCAUUGGCAAUGUGUGUCAGAGGUGUUUAAAGGGGGAUAUAGUGGCUUAAACAUGGCAACUUCAUAUUGAGUAGUCAUAUUGUAGCUUAUUCUAUGUCCUUAAAAAGCACUGCCCAAUCAUUUAUGUAACAAGAGUGCCAUUUCACACAAACAUGCAGACAGCACAUUAGAGUGUGUGCAUGCCAAUCCCAUAAACACACUAAAACUUUAUGUCAGAGCAACUUUAGUGUGCAAGUACCCAUGUAUGAGGCAGGGUAGAGAGGGCGUGUGCACGCUCACACACAAUCUCUCUCCUACAGUACAUGAAGUUAUUUUUCACCCAUAUCACUUAAGCGUUGAUAAGGAAGAUGCCCGCCCGGCCUGCUUUACCAGCACACAUGUUCAGCCUGCAAAGAGCAAAGUCCACCUCGGCCAGCUUAAAGAGCGAAUGAGUGAGCAACGCGAAUCGACAAGCGCAUGAAUGGGCUCCUUGUUUAACCAGGCUUUAACUCUUCUGUUGAUGGGAGAACAGAUCGCUGAUCACUCCACCCUUUGAUGGGACUCACACUUUAUGAAGCCAGAUACCACCAGGACAGAUGAUGAUGAGGUGGCCUGAAAACAGUGCAGUUCUGGCCUCAACCUGUGCCCUGAUGGAACAAUUUCUUCCUUACCAGUUCCUGUAAGAGUGAAUAAUGUGUAAUCAGGCCAACACAUAGCAAAAACAACAGUCCAACCUGUGUUUGAAUAAGGAAGUUUGAAGGAGAUUUUUUAUAGCAGUAAAAGAGUGAGUCACUGUUCACAGUGAAGAGAGUCAAGCGAAAGUAAAACAAGAAAAGUUUGACUGUUGCUGUAUCAGCUGCCACUGGGUUGUGAACAUCAGAUCUUAAAUAGACGCAGCCUGUCUGUGAAUUAACUAACCAUCAGUUGACUGGUGCUAUAUUUAUAAGUCUGAUGUUUCAUCACUGUUUUGCAAUUCCAUUCACAUCAAUGUAAGAUAGUGUUCUCAGUAAACAAGGGACCACGCUUCGAGCUAUUUGAUUAAAGAAAAUGCCAUUACGCUAUCACUAAGCCUUUAUCACUUUUCUUUUGGGCCUCCAUUGGAUAAAGACAGCAAUAAUCAUAAUUUAUAUAUUUAUGUUUUCAACAAUAAAUAUAUUUCUGCUCAUGAAAUUGUU